ACUGAGCGGCGGACGGGUGAGUAACGCGUGGGUAACCUGCCUCAUACAGGGGGAUAACAGUUGGAAACGGCUGCUAAUACCGCAUAAGCGCACAGUACCGCAUGGUACGGUGUGAAAAACUCCGGUGGUAUGAGAUGGACCCGCGUCUGGUUAGGUAGUUGGUGGGGUAACGGCCUACCAAGCCGACGAUCAGUAGCCGACCUGAGAGGGUGACCGGCCACAUUGGGACUGAGACACGGCCCAA
rnacentral:rRNA from 1 species